rnacentral:rRNA from 1 species
UCAGUGGGAGACUGCCGGGGUCAACUCGGAGGAAGGUGGGGAUGACGUCAAAUCAUCAUGCCCCUUAUGUCUUGGGCUUCACGCAUGCUACAAUGGCCGGUACAAAGGGCUGCGAUACCGCGAGGUGGAGCGAAUCCCAGAAAGCCGGUCUCAGUUCGGAUUGGGGUCUGCAACUCGACCCCAUGAAGUCGGAGUCGCUAGUAAUCGCAGAUCAGCAACGCUGCGGUGAAUACGUUCCCGGGCCUU